rnacentral:rRNA from 1 species
GUGGGGAAUUUUGGACAAUGGGCGAAAGCCUGAUCCAGCCAUGCCGCGUGCAGGAUGAAGGCCUUCGGGUUGUAAACUGCUUUUGUACGGAACGAAAAGACUCCUUCUAAUAAAGGGGGUCCAUGACGGUACCGUAAGAAUAAGCACCGGCUAACUACGUGCCAGCAGCCGCGGUAAUACGUAGGGUGCAAGCGUUAAUCGGAAUUACUGGGCGUAAAGCGUGCGCAGGCGGUUAUAUAAGACAGAUGUGAAAGCCCCGGGCUCAACCUGGGAACUGCAGUUGUGACUGUAUAGCUAGAGUACGGUAGAGGGGGAUGGAAUUCCGCGUGUAGCAGUGAAAUGCGUAGAUAUGCGGAGGAACACCGAUGGCGAAGGCAAUCCCCUGGACCUGUACUGACGCUCAUGCACGAAAGCGUGGGGAGCAAACAGGAUUAGAUACCCCAGUAGUCC